UGUCAGUGGAACGUAAACAAAAUUUUACUUUUUUGUACAGCGGCAUCGACUUACGCAUGCGUGUCCAUGUCCUGGCCAUCUUGCUCCUCCAGCAGUGGAUCGUUAUGGGCCUGGCUUAUGAGCAGGUCAUGUUGUCAUCAACGAGGAAAUAAAUAAAAAGGUUCAGGAGCAAGAGGCAGUUGGAAAAAACUGGAAGAUUGGAUGCUCUUAAGAUAUACGUAAAGUAAACCUUUUAGGAGUGAAACAUAUAGAGUAAAGAAGACCAUAAACUCAUGUUUAAUUGAUACUAAUAAGCAUAUAAUCCAUAUUUUUAAAUUAUGUUGUAACCUGCUAUCUUAUGUUUAUUUAAAUUAUAUUAAUAGGCUUUCUAGUAGCCAACCUUA